GACGAACGCUGGCGGCGUGCCUAAUACAUGCAAGUAGAACGCUGAAGGAAGGAGCUUGCUCUUUCUGGAUGAGUUGCGAACGAGUGAGUAACGCGUAGGUAACCUGCCUGGUAGCGGGGGAUAACUAUUGGAAACGAUAGCUAAUACCGCAUAAAAUUGAUUAUUGCAUGAUAGUCAAUUAAAAGGUGCAACUGCACCACUACCAGAUGGACCUGCGUUGUAUUAGCUAGUUGGUGGGGUAACGGCUCACCAAGGCGACGAUACAUAGCCGACCUGAGAGGGUGAUCGGCCACACUGGGACUGAGACACGGCCCAGACUCCUACGGGAGGCAGCAGUAGGGAAUCUUCGGCAAUGGACGGAAGUCUGACCGAGCAACGCCGCGUGAGUGAAGAAGGUUUUCGGAUCGUAAAGCUCUGUUGUAAGAGAAGAACGAGUGUGAGAGUGGAAAGUUCACACUGUGACGGUAUCUUACCAGAAAGGGACGGCUAACUACGUG
rnacentral:rRNA from 1 species